UACGGGGGGGGCAAGCGUUGUUCGGAAUUACUGGGCGUAAAGGGCUUGUAGGUGGCCAACUAAGUCAGACGUGAAAUCCCUCGGCUUAACCGGGGAACUGCGUCUGAUACUGGAUGGCUUGAGUGUGGGAGAGGGAUGCGGAAUUCCAGGUGUAGCGGUGAAAUGCGUAGAUAUCUGGAGGAACACCGGUGGCGAAGGCGGCAUCCUGGACCAUUACUGACACUGAGGCGCGAAAGCUAGGGGAGCAAACGGG
rnacentral:rRNA from 1 species